AUGCGACCAUAUUACGUUGAAACACCGCUUCCCGUACGAUCACCGAAAUAAAGCAACAUGCAGCUUGAUCAGUACGUGGAUGGGUGACAAUUUGGGAAUACCAGGCACUGUA